GAUAACGAACGAGAUCCCUGCUUCUAAUUGCUAUCUUUCUCUCAGGAGAUUGAGCACAUUAGAGGGACCGCUGGCGCUAAGUCAGAGGAAGGGGGGGGCAACGGUAGGUCAGUAUGCCCCGAAUCUCCCGGGCUACACGCGCGCUACAAAGGCCGGGACAAUGGGUCCCCACCCCGAAAGGGGGAGGUAAUCCCGAAACCCGGUCAUAGUUCGGAUUGAGGACUGUAACCCGUCCUCAUGAAGCUGGAAUCCGUAGUAAUCGCGUUUCAAAAAACCGCGGUGAAUAUGCCCCUGCUCCUUGCACACACCGCCCGUCAAACCAUCUGAGUUGGGUCUAAGUGAGGACAUGUCGUUAUGGGAUGUUCGAACUUGGGUUCAGCAAGGAGGGUUAAGUCGUAACAAGGUAUCCGUAGGGGAACCUGCGGAUGGAUCACCUCCU
rnacentral:rRNA from 1 species